rnacentral:rRNA from 1 species
ACCCUUAGAUGUUCUGGGCCGCACGCGCGCUACACUGGUUCAGUCAACGAGUUCAUUUCACCUUGAUCGAGAGGUCUGGGUAAUCUUCGAAACUGAAUCGUGAUGGGGAUAGUUCAUUGUAAUUGUUGAACUUAAACGAGGAAUUCCUAGUAAACGUGAGUCAUCAGCUCACAUUGAUUACGUCCCUGCCCUUUGUACACACCGCCCGUCGCACCUACCGAUUGAAUGGUCCGGUGAGACUUUCGGACCGCAGCGAAUGCUCGUUUACUCGGGCUUAGCAUGCGGAAAGUUAUUCAAACCUUACCAUUUAGAGGAAGGUGAAGUCGUAACA